rnacentral:rRNA from 1 species
UACGGGGGGGUAAGCGUUGUUCGGAAUUACUGGGCGUAAAGGGCUCGUAGGCGGCCAACUAAGUCGGACGUGAAAUCCCUCAGCUUAAACUGGGGAACUGCGUCCGAUACUGGAUGGCUUGGAUUUGGGAGAGGGAUGCGGAAUUCCAGGUGUAGCGGUGAAAUGACGUAGAUAUCUGGAGGAACACCGGUGGCGAAGGCGGCAUCCUGGACCAACAUUGACGCUGAGGAGCGAAAGCUAGGGGAGCAAACGGGG